GGCUGGGCAGGCUGGGCCGGCUGGCGGGGAGGGGAUGGGAAGCACGGAGGAACAAAGAAAGUGAAACUGUCGGUAUCCUCAAAGAAGCCUGAGUUCCUGCCACGACCUAUUCUUGGCUAUGGAAGGACAUAACAGAUCCCCACAUGGCAUUCCACAAGGCUUCGGGUCAUAUAUUGACUCAAGAGCACAUGCAACAUGACGUCAUGGGACUACAAAGGCGUGGCACUUCCCUCUCCCACUGCUGCACCCAAACUUUAAGAGGAACUACAACGCCCCAGGAAAUUUCCUAAGAGUCAGAAGACCCUACACUGAGGGUCCCAGGCUGAGGUGCUUCACUUCAUUUCCACCAAAAAUAAAGACCAGUUGCAGCCCAGGAGCGUUGGGCCUCAGA